CUCCUCCCCCGAGCCCUAAGGGCCCGCAGGGCCUCCAGUAGCAAAGCCACUGGCCCCGCGUCCCCGCGUCCCCCUGCGCCGCGCCCCGGGGCGCAGGCAGGGACCACGCGGCCGGCGUGGGGGCGGCGCCACCCGCAGCAGAAAGCCCCGGCGUGGACCGCGUGGCGUAGGAAAGCGCUCCCCUCGCCCCCAGCCGCAGAGGGCUUGGGCAGCAUCGGGCGCGGCCCCGGGAGAGUGCGUCCGCGGCGCCAGCGGCUGCAGGGUGACCUGUUUCGGGCGGGGACACUCACCAGAAGAACACGCGUGAGCAGAGGACCAAACGACGGUGCCAUGGGAGGCUCUUCAACCUGUGAGCCAAACAUUUGACCUUGGACGACAGCAAAGUUUAGCCACAGAUUAUCCUUGUAGAGCUGCAAGACCUCAAGAAAGCCGGGUAACUCGAGAGUAUGACCCAGAUGAAUUCGGGAGAUGGAUGAAUGCUGUCGUCGAUGGGGGCGGGCUUUAGGCAUCUCACAUGUUGCAUGCUACGGUGGACCUCUGAGCUUUUUGCUGCCCCCUUAGAUUGGGAAAGGAAUAUAAGAGGAAAGAGAGACUGCCUGAUGAUUUCUGUCGUCAAGCCCUAAAGCCUAACAGAUAACAGUGGCAAACGACACGUGGGUUCCAGAAUACCAGUGAUGUUCAUGUGCAUUUCUGAGCUAGUCAAGUGAAGCAGUGGGAGUGGAAAAGGAGCAAAG